GCUGGAGGGGCCUCCCUCGCCCGCCUGUCUUCGCCGGCGCUGGUCUCCCGCACCCGGGUCUGCAGUCCCUCCGCCAUCUCGCAGGUGUGCAGCCGCUAGGCCUGGGGGAUCCGAAUGACUGGGGCUGGAUAGGAAUGCCUUCGUGUUUCCCAAGACCCCCGGGCCUGCUCCACAAAGUUUGAAGGAAGGAGGAGUUGAGGCGCCUUGAAUUUUCCUUCGCGAGUUUGGAGACUAGCCGAUUUUUCAUGAAGCAAGCAAAGACCGCGGUCCCGGAUCCGGCAACAUCUACCUCAUUCUCUCCAGGCCUCUCCACUUGCCCGAGCUCUCAGCCACCAGGAGACAGAAGGAAGGGACUUCUGGGCUGCGUUGGGAGCGGGCACUGUCCCCUAUCUACUCCUGCUCGGUUUCCCAAAGUCCAGCGACAUCCGACCCUCCUGGGGGGAAAAAUACCAGUACCCAGACACCUCUGCACCCUGUUAUAUGACUGGGCUUGCUUCAGGAAUAUCUUACAAAGAAGAAGAAGAAGAAGAAGAAAGAACAGCUUGGAGUCAUGUUUACAUCUAGUUCUACUGACCGGUUCCCAUCUGGAGAGUUUAUUUAUAACUCCCUCUAUAACUCUCUGUUUGGAGGCACUGGUGGCUCUAUUGACAGACUGAUGUCUAGGAAAUAUUGCUCUAUGUCUAACCGUACCUAAAUGUGCUGUGGUUGUAUUUACAGAUUUAUGUUUGAGGGAAAUAUAAUUAUUUCCAUUGUAUUUGUGCAUAUACAGUAGUUAUAGGAGCAGAUUUAUAUAUGGGAAAAUAUACGACUCUCUUACAGCCAUCCGGCUUUAUGUACAUGUGAUAUCCUGACAGAUUUAUAUCUCUGAACAGCUAUAUAGAUAAAAACGUAUAUUGUUAGAAUUA